UUACGCUCACUUUGAUCUCGGACUUCGCAGAGGUUGGACGUUUUUAAAUAGAGUGGAAAGAGUUUCCUCUUUCUCAAAGACGCUACGUUUCAUGGCUUCGAGAAGUUUAGCACAUUCUACCAUGUUUUUUCACUUCACGUUUAAGGUUUUUGUAACACGAUGAUGACACAACAAGUCUCGUUCGUAUGAUUGUUUCUUGAUUACAAUCGAUUCUUUCUGACCGCAAAUUUUUCAUAGAGAUAAUCGCCGCGUGCUCCACACAGCUUAGAUUUAGUUACCGGUUUUUUUUUAGCUUCGGAUUUGCAGAACCAGCUUGUGCUAUAUAGUCUCGAAAAGCACCUGCUCACAUCUCUCGCUACAAUUUUUUAUUUUAGAAGAACAAUUAAAAAUAAGUACAAUGGAGAAGAAUAGUCUGAAUUAUCAUAAGUGUUUUGGAUGAGAAGAAAUUUUUUGCAGAAGAAUAUGGAAAUCACAUUUAUAUAAAAUAUGUAAAAGCACUAAAAAGUCAAAAUGAAUGAACUGGAAAGAAGAAAGGGAAGUUGUAGUAUAUAAUAUAGAAAUGGAACUUGUAUAUUUACAUAACAAAUGUAAUAAAAAAAUGUAAUAAAAAGAAUGAGAAUGGAAGCAAUGUCAAAACUAGAAGAAGAGAAAGUUGGAAUAUACAAAUAAUGACUAAGAAUGUGCUCAUGGAAAAGAACUGUGUGAGAAAUAUGAUAUUUAAUAUACAAUAAAAUCGCUCCAGCAACACAAUACACUUUAAUAUUGGAAUUUCAAAGAAUUAAAUAUCUCUCAGAUCUUUAACAAUUUACAUUUAUGACUAUUUUAGAUCUUUUAAGGAAUAUGUUAGAGAGACUAUGUAUCAGGCUGCUUUUGAACUGAACAAAGUGAACUGAAAUGUUUACAAAAUAAAUGAUAUGAAAAUAAUAUUAAUUUUCUGUUUAAUGCAUACUA